ensembl:lncRNA
CUCCAAUAAAAAUUUUUUUUUAAAUCCUUUGUAGGAGAUCGGUCCCCUCUGGGAGCAGCCCUGCUGUUCUGGGAGCCUCAACACAGCAGGGCAGGUUAUGUUGUGAUGAGUGGCCUCUGGGUCUGCUAACCUUCUGAAACGACUGCCCAGGCAGGCUGGGACCCGGUCACCAGCCCAGGGUGGAAAGCACAUUUGCAUUACAAGAAAUGGAAGGCAACACCCCUAGAGCCCCCAGCUGAGUAACAGGAACCCGGGCUCAGUUCCCCUGCUGUUGGGACUGCACUGAGAACUGGAAAAAAAGAAGCCGGUGGCAGGGUGACAUCAAGCCAUGCAGUUUCAGAUUCAACCCAUAUUUAAAUGGAAAUCACAGCAACAAAGAAUAUGACUUUCCCUUGCAAAUAUGGGUGUUCAUUUCUCCUUCAAAGGAACCGAGACAGUGUGAGGCGUGAUGGCGUGGCUUUAUGUGAUGGUGGGCACUUUUCCGGAGUCUCUCCUUGGUCUCUCAUCCAGCCCUCCACGGUGGGUCCUGAUGUCCAUGCACCAACUGGGAAACCAAGGCCUUAGUUUUCCAAGAGUUUGGAUGCACGUGCCAGGACCAAGGAGCAAGGCUCGCCACUACUGGUUAGUCACGUGCUUGCUAAACACGUGGAAACAGCAGGUCCUGCACGGCUCUCUCUGUGCUCAGGAAGGAGGGUGGGGGUCCCUGUCCAUUCUUGAACAGUGGUAAGUAUUUUAAACCCUUAUGUUAGUUUCAAUCUUCAGGUAAUAGACAACAUUCAUUAUAGAAAAAUCAGAAGAUUUUUUAGAAAAAGGUGGAAUGACUUCCCUGGUGGCCCAGGGGCUAAGGCUUCAAGCUCCCAAGGCAGGGGUCCAGGGUUCAAUCCCUGGUCAAGGAACUGGAUCCCACAGACCACAACUAAGAGUUUUCGUGCCACAGCUAAAGAUCCCACAUGCUGCAACGAAGACCUGCGGCAGCCAAAUAAAUGAUUGUGAAGCUGGCUUGCAGAGGCACUGUGAGCACACCAGAAGCCCACCCUCCCUCCAGCCAUGGGCUGGAUGGCUGUUCUCAUCCUUGCCAGCCUUACCCGUGG